rfam:Massilia sp. LC238 contig63, whole genome shotgun sequence.
GAACUGAAGAGUUUGAUCCUGGCUCAGAUUGAACGCUGGCGGCAUGCUUUACACAUGCAAGUCGAACGGCAGCACGGACUUCGGUCUGGUGGCGAGUGGCGAACGGGUGAGUAAUACAUCGGAACGUACCCAGAAGUGGGGGAUAACGCAGCGAAAGUUGCGCUAAUACCGCAUACGUUCUACGGAAGAAAGUGGGGGAUCUUCGGACCUCA